rnacentral:ncRNA from 1 species
CAUGCAAGUGCGGGAGAGAGCGGCCUGGGUCUAUACGGGCCGCCGCCGAAGGCGCAAUUCGCCCGGAAUCGCUCAGGUAACCCAUACCGCGCUGCAUCA